rnacentral:rRNA from 1 species
AGAGUUUGAUCCUGGCUCAGGAUGAACGCUAGCGACAGGCUUAACACAUGCAAGUCGAGGGGCAGCGGGGUCAGUAGCAAUACUGAUUGCCGGCGACCGGCGCACGGGUGAGUAACGCGUAUGCAACCUACCCAUCAGAGAGGGAUAACCCGGCGAAAGUCGGCCUAAUACCUCAUAAAACAGGGGUUCCGCAUGGGAAUAUUUGUUAAAUGGAUUUUCCGCUGAUGGAUGGGCAUGCGUUUCAUUAGGUAGUUGGUGAGGUAACGGCUCACCAAGCCUACGAUGAAUAGGGGUUCUGAGAGGAAGGUCCCCCACACUGGUACUGAGACACGGACCAGACUCCUACGGGAGGCAGCAGUGAGGAAUAUUGGUCAAUGGGCGAGAGCCUGAACCAGCCAAGUCGCGUGAAGGAUGAAGGAUCUAUGGUUUGUAAACUUCUUUUAUAGGGGAAUAAAGGAUGGGACGUGUCCCAAGUUGUAUGUACCCUAUGGAUAAGCAUCGGCUAACUCCGUGCCAGCAGCCGCGGUAAUACGGAGGAUGCGAGCGUUAUCCGGAUUUACUGGGUGUAAAGGGCGUGUAGGCGGAGAUGCAAGUUGGGAGUGAAAUCCCGGGGCUCAACCCCGGAACUGCUUUCAAAACUGUAUCCCUUGAGUGUCGGAGAGGCAAGCGGAAUUCCUAGUGUAGCGGUGAAAUGCGUAGAUAUUAGGAGGAACACCAGUGGCGAAGGCGGCUUGCUGGACGACAACUGACGGUGAGGCGCGAAAGCGUGGGGAGCAAACAGGAUUAGAUACCCUGGUAGUCCACGCUGUAAACGAUGAAUACUAGGUGUGCGGGGACUGACCCCCUGCGUGCCGGAGCUAACGCAAUAAGUAUUCCACCUGGGGAGUACGAUCGCAAGGUUGAAACUCAAAGGAAUUGACGGGGGCCCGCACAAGCGGUGGAGCAUGUGGUUUAAUUCGAAGCAACGCGAAGAACCUUACCAAGUCUUGACAUCCCGAUGACAGUACAUGUAAUGUGUAUUUUCUUCGGAACAUCGGUGACAGGUGGUGCAUGGUUGUCGUCAGCUCGUGUCGUGAGAUGUUGGGUUAAGUCCCGCAACGAGCGCAACCCCUAUUUUUAGUAGCCAGCAUUUUGGAUGGGCACUCUAGAAAGACUGCCAGGGAUAACCUGGAGGAAGGUGGGGACGACGUCAAAUCAUCAUGCCCCUUAUGACUUGGGCUACACACGUGCUACAAUGACAGUUACAAAGUGAGGCAAACCCGCGAGGGGGAGCAAACCACAAAAAGGCUGUCCCAGUUCGGACUGUAGUCUGCAACUCGACUACACGAAGCUGGAAUCGCUAGUAAUCGUGAAUCAGAAUGUCACGGUGAAUACGUUCCCGGGUCUUGUACUCACCGCCCGUCAAG